GGCAACAAUCUUACUUCCAGGUACCAAAAUAUGUAUCAGUUACCUAUUGCUUUGUAAAAACUUACCUCAAAACUUAGCCACUUUGUUCAACAGACAUUUAUUAUCCCAUCUUUUCUGUAGAUCAGAAUCUGGGCACAACUUGGCUAUGGUUCCUUUGGCUGAGUUUCUCAAAAAGUAUCCAUCAAGGUGUUGGACAGGGCUAUGGUCAUCUCAAGGACAGCUACUUGGGAGGCUGAAGCAGAGAAUUGCUUGAAUCCAAGAGGUGGAGGUUGUUGUGAGCCGAGAUUGUGCCACUGCACUCCAGCCUAGGCAACAGAGAGAGAUUCUGUCUCAAAAAAAAAAAAAAANNNNNNNNNNNNNNNNNNCUUUGUAUGAAGGUUAGACUUGAUGACUUUGAAAAGACUCUCAUCUUCAUGCUUCCAGGAAUCUAUGAUUUGAUAAGUCUUGGCCUUCUUUCUAUCUCAUUCUGUUUCCUUCCAUGUGGUUUGUAAUCCAUUUGGAAAUACUUACAGAACCAGGGUCUAAAAUGGUCAGCAUUGACAAUAGCACCUUUUAAAAAGUAACUAAAUUCCCCAAGUAUUUAAGCCCAUAGUGAGAUAUGACUACAGGUUUUAAGUAAUCAGGCACCUCCAAAUGUCUCUAAUUUCUAGUUUUACUAUGGAUUAAUUCAUUUGACACUAGAGUUCUUCACUGAGAAAUGCAAAUCAAAAUCACAUUGAGAUA
rnacentral:lncRNA from 1 species